GCUCAUCGGCAACUGGCCAUGAGGCUCUAUUGCUCGAUUCUAGUUUAUGUUGACGGAGUUCGAAUAAUAACUAGGCUUGUUGUUGGAUGAUUUGUCCUUGAUUUUGGAUCAUUUGGAGGAGUUGUUGAGUUGUCGGCGGUUCUAGGAUAAGAGGGUGGCUUUGGCCGGCUUGUUGGGAUAGUUGUAUUUGUGCUUGAGGGUCAUUGGAUGGAGUGUGGUGGUUGAGAGGCAUGUUUGUGAUAAUUGGUUCUGUUUGACUGAGAGGGUGUGUUUGGUUUCGAGUAGUCACAAUGAUAUAGGUAAGCCAUACACGACGUCAAUGUUCUUUAUUGCUGAUCGAAUAUGGUCGGAAUUAGGAAACCGAUUGAG
rnacentral:lncRNA from 1 species